AUUGAACGCUGGCGGCAGGCCUAACACAUGCGAGUCGAGCGGAUGAAGGGAGCUUGCUCCUGGAUUCAGCGGCGGACGGGUGAGUAAUGCCUAGGAAUCUGCCUGGUAGUGGGGGAUAACGUCCGGAAACGGGCGCUAAUACCGCAUACGUCCUGAGGGAGAAAGUGGGGGAUCUUCGGACCUCACGCUAUCAGAUGAGCCUAGGUCGGAUUAGCUAGUUGGUGGGGUAAAGGCCUACCAAGGCGACGAUCCGUAACUGGUCUGAGAGGAUGAUCAGUCACACUGGAACUGAGACACGGUCCAGACUCCUACGGGAGGCAGCAGUGGGGAAUAUUGGACAAUGGGCGAAAGCCUGAUCCAGCCAUGCCGCGUGUGUGAAGAAGGUCUUCGGAUUGUAAAGCACUUUAAGUUGGGAGGAAGGGCAGUAAGUUAAUACCUUGCUGUUUUGACGUUACCAACAGAAUAAGCACAGGCUAACUUCGUG
rnacentral:rRNA from 1 species